GGCUGCGCGUUGACGGGGAUGCUGGGGCGCGGCGUGGCAGGCCUGAUCCAGCAAUGCCGCGUGCUGAUGAAGGCCUUCGGGUUGUAAACUGCUUUUGUACGGAACGAAAAGGGUCUCUCUUAUUCAGGGGGCUCUUGAAGGUACCGUAAGAAUAAGCCCCGGCUAACUUCCUGGCCGCAACCGCGGUAAUUAACUUCUUCCCAACGUAAAGGAUUUAAUAGAAGGCUUUGUCCUCGGGCGGCGUUGCUGCGUCAGGGUUUCCCCAUUGCGCAAUAUUCGCACUGCUGGCUCCCUUAUUUCCCCAUGCACAACCACGAUUUUCUCUUGCGGGGGGAAAAAUACCUAACAUAAAAACCAACUUCUGUUCCCCCAAUUUUUAUAU
rnacentral:rRNA from 1 species